AGAUCGCCGAAGCGUCGGACUACCGUUGGUUUCUGCAACUUCCUGGAUUAUCCUCGCCAAGGACUUUGCAAUAUUUUUUUCCGCCUUUUCUGGAAGGAUUUCGUUGCUUCCCGAAGGUCUUGGACGAGCGCUCUAGCUCUGUGGGAAGAUUUUGGGCUUUCUGGCUCGGAUUUUGCAAUUUCUCCCUUGGGACUGCCGUGGAGCCGCGUCCACUGUGGAUUAUAAUUGCAACAUGACGCUGGAAGAGCUCGUGGCGUGCGACAACGCGGCGCAGAAGAUGCAGACGGUGACCGCCGCGGUGGAGGAGCUUUUGGUGGCCGCUCAGCGCCAGGAUCGCCUCACAGUGGGGGUGUACGAGUCGGCCAAGUUGAUGAAUGUGUGAGUCAGACCCCCUUCCCGGGCUGGGCGCGGGUGGGACGGGACCUCCCCUCCGCUCUGGACGCUUUCCACACGCUUGUCUUGCAUGGAGCUGGGACUUCCCCAAGUGCCCCCCGCUGUGGAUGCAGAGCUUCUCUGCCGUUUUGUGGAUCGGGGGCUGCCGUAUCCUGAUGUAUCGUCUGCAAACGCCCCUCCCGCUGUGGGCCUGUCUCCCCCCACCCCAUACUUUGAACCGUGUGCCCUCCCCUCCCCCACCGUCACCAGCUUGCAGAGGCAAUCCCCUGCACCCUUGCAAUUUCUCUUUUGCUCUUGCACGCUCCUUGUUUGCAAACUCCCCCUGCACGGUGGCCUCUCCCCUGUCCCCGGCUGACCCAUCCCUACCCUUUGGCCCCCUCAGGGACCCAGACAGCGUGGUCCUCUGCCUCUUGGCCAUUGACGAAGAGGAGGAGGAUGACAUCGCCCUGCAAAUCCACUUCACGCUCAUCCAGUCUUUCUGCUGUGACAACGACAUCAACAUCGUGCGGGUGUCGGGCAUGCAGCGCCUGGCGCAGCUCCUGGGAGAGCCGGCCGAGACCCAGGGCACCUCCGAGGCCCGAGACCUGCAUUGUCUCCUGGUCACGGUGAGUCGGGCCUCUGCCCUGCCCUGCCCCGUCACGCCCGGGCACCUGGGCCGGUGUUUGUCAACAAAGUCGGGCUGACUGGUCCUGCACAGCUCAGCGCUCAGCCACGUUUGGCAUGUCCCGUGGGCAGCCGGGCUGGGGCCUCCUCACCCAGGGAGCUAUUUUGAGCCUGUUUUCCCCACACAGGGGCCCCAGGAGAGGGAGGCUCCACUAAACCCCUUCUUUUCCCUCCUCCAGAACCCUCACACCGACGCCUGGAAGAGCCACGGCUUGGUGGAGGUAGCCAGCUACUGCGAAGAAAGCCGGGGCAACAACCAGUGGGUCCCCUACAUCUCUCUUCAGGAACGCUGAGGCCCUUCCUAGCAGCAGAAUCUGUUGAGUUACUGCCAAAAACAAAAAAUACAAUAAAUAUUUGAACCCCCCUCCCCCCAGCACAACCCCCCCAAAGCAACCCAACCCAGAGACCAUCGGGGGCAGAGUCGUUGGAGACUGAAGAGAGGAAGGAGGAGGAGGAGGAGGAGGAGAAGGGGAGUGAGCGGCGGCCCCCAGGGCGGAGAUCCAGGAGCUGGCCGCCGCCGAUCCGAUGGAGGAGAAGGGGGGACCCAGGCCAGCAGGAGACAGGACCCCGAAGCUCAGGCCUUGGGAUGGAGCAGAAGCCGGAGUGGCGGGGCACGCCGCCGCCUUCCCCGUCACGGAGGGUCCAGACUGUCCACUCGGGGGUGGAGUGAGACUGACUGCAACCCCCACCCUCCUUGAGACUGGAGCUGGCGUCUGCAGACGAGAGACUUGGUUGAACUUGGUUGGUCCUUGUCGGCACCCUGGACAAGACCACACUUUGGGACUUGGGAGCUGGGGCUGAAGUUGCUCUGUACCCAUGAACUCCCAGUUUGCGAAUUAUAGAGACAAUCUAUUUUGUUACUUGCACUUGUUAUUGGAACCACUGAGAGCGAGAUGGGAAGCAUAGAUAUCUAUAUUUUUAUUUCCACUAUGAUGGCCUUGUAAUAAAUUUCUAACGCCUCUG
rnacentral:sRNA from 1 species